UUUGACCUCGGAUCAGGUAGGGAUACCCGCUGAACUUAAGCAUAUCAAUAAGCGGAGGAC
rnacentral:rRNA from 1 species